rnacentral:rRNA from 1 species
UGAGGAAGGCUCUAAGGCGUGACAAGGUCUCCAGGAUAAGAAGAAUGGUCAUGGGUCUAAUAGGCCUAUGAUUUGACGGUACUAUCAAAGGAAGCACCGGCUAACUUCGUGCCAGCAGCCGCGGUAAUACGAAGGGUGCAAGCGUUGUUCGGAUUUACUGGGCGUAAAGCGCGCGCAGGCGGAUUAUUAAGCCAGAUGUGAAAUCCCGGGGCUCAACCCCGGAACUGCGUCUGGAACUGGUAAUCUAGAGUUAUAGAGGGGAGAGCGGAAUUUCGCAUGUAGGGGUAAAAUCCGUAGAGAUGCGAAAGGAACACCAGCGCCGAAGGGGGCUCUCUGGCUAUUAACUGACGCUGAGGCGCGAAAGCGUGGGUAGCAAACAGGAUUAGAUACCCUGGUAGUCCACGCCGUAAACGAUGGAGUACUAGAUAUUGGAGCCUUUGACCGCUUCAGUGUCGUAGCUAACGCAUUAAGUACUCCGCCUGGGAAGUACGGUCGCAAGACUAAAACUCAAAGGAAUUGACGGGGGCCCGCACAAGCGGUGGAUUAUGUGGUUUAAUUCGAAGCAACGCGCAGAACCUUACCUAGGCUUGAAAUCCCGAGAAGAUCGCCCAAAAUUGAUUGUGCUCUUCGGAGAACUCGGUGACAGGCGCUGCAUGGCUGUCGUCUUGCUCGUGUCGUGAGAUGUUGGGUCAAGUCUCGCAACGAGCGCGGCUCCUAUCCUUUGUUGCCAGCGUUAAGUUGGGCACUCUGGGGAGUCUGCCUGGGCUGUCCGGGUGGGAGGUGGGGCUGCCGUCUCGUCCUCAUGGCCCUUAUGUCUCGGGCUACACACGUAAUACCAUGGUGCAUUCACAGAGCCGCGAUCAGGUGUCUGUCAGCUUUUCUCUAGAAGUGCUUCUCAGUCCGGAGUGGAGUCUGCAACUCGUCGCCUUG